CCUACGGGAGGCAGCAGUGAGGAAUAUUGGUCAAUGGACGAGAGUCUGAACCAGCCAAGUAGCGUGAAGGAUGACUGCCCUAUGGGUUGUAAACUUCUUUUAUAUGGGAAUAAAAUGUUCCACGUGUGGGCUUUUGUAUGUACCGUAUGAAUAAGGAUCGGCUAACUCCGUGCCAGCAGCCGCGGUAAUACGGAGGAUCCGAGCGUUAUCCGGAUUUAUUGGGUUUAAAGGGUGCGUAGGCGGAUCGUUAAGUCAGUGGUCAAAUUGAGGGGCUCAACCCCUGCCCGCCAUUGAAACUGGAGGUCUUGAGUGGAAGAGAAGUAUGCGGAAUGCGUGGUGUAGCGGUGAAAUGCAUAGAUAUCACGCAGAACCCCGAUUGCGAAGGCAGCAUGCCGGCUUCCGACUGACGCUGAAGCACGAAAGCGUGGGGAUCGAACAGGAUUAGAUACCCCUGUAGUC
rnacentral:rRNA from 1 species